UACGUAGGGGGCUAGCGUUGUUCGGAAUUACUGGGCGUAAAGCGCACGUAGGCGGACUAUUAAGUCAGGGGUGAAAUCCCGGGGCUCAACCCCGGAACUGCCUUUGAUACUGGUAGUCUCGAGUCCGGAAGAGGUGAGUGGAAUUCCGAGUGUAGAGGUGAAAUUCGUAGAUAUUCGGAGGAACACCAGUGGCGAAGGCGGCUCACUGGUCCGGUACUGACGCUGAGGUGCGAAAGCGUGGGGAGCAAACAGGG
rnacentral:rRNA from 1 species